GGGGAAUAUUGCACAAUGGGGGAAACCCUGAUGCAGCGACGCCGCGUGGAGGAAGAAGGUCUUCGGAUUGUAAACUCCUGUUGUUGAGGAAGAUAAUGACGGUACUCAACAAGGAAGUGACGGCUAACUACGUGCCAGCAGCCGCGGUAAAACGUAGGUCACAAGCGUUGUCCGGAAUUACUGGGUGUAAAGGGAGCGCAGGCGGGCGAUCAAGUUGGAAGUGAAAUCCAUGGGCUCAACCCAUGAACUGCUUUCAAAACUGAUUGUCUUGAGUAGUGCAGAGGUAGGCGGAAUUCCCGGUGUAGCGGUGGAAUGCGUAGAUAUCGGGAGGAACACCAGUGGCGAAGGCGGCCUACUGGGCACCAACUGACGCUGAGGCUCGAAAGUGUGGGUAGCAAACAGGAUUAGAUACCCUGGUAGUCCACACCGUAAACGAUGAUUACUAGGUGUUGGAGGAUUGACCCCUUCAGUGCCGCAGUUAACACAAUAAGUAAUCCACCUGGGGAGUACGACCGCAAGGUUGAAACUCAAAGGAAUUGACGGGGGCCCGCACAAGCAGUGGAGUAUGUGGUUUAAUUCGACGCAACGCGAAGAACCUUACCAAGUCUUGACAUCCUGCGACGAUNCUAGAAAUAGUGUUUUCCUUCGGGACGCAGAGACAGGUGGUGCAUGGUUGUCGUCAGCUCGUGUCGUGAGAUGUUGGGUUAAGUCCCGCAACGAGCGCAACCCUUAUGGUCAGUUACUACGCAAGAGGACUCUGGCCAGACUGCCGUUGACAAAACGGAGGAAGGUGGGG
rnacentral:rRNA from 1 species